rnacentral:rRNA from 1 species
AUGGCUGCAGGAGCCUACCAUAGCUCGUCAGCUAGUUCGCCGAUCAUGGACUUUUUCUACGCCCUCCUUCUCACCAUAGUCAUCUUAGGCACCGCCCUGGCCCUCUUCUUGCCGGCUGCCAACUAUGACCCGAAGCCCCGGCUGUUCAUCCGGCUGGUCGAGGUCCAGGGGCUGGACCCGUGCAUCCCGGAGACCGAGGUGCGUUCCCCGACCUUCGAGCUGGCCGUGGACGUCGGCCGGGUGUCGGAAAGCAGGCGGGGGCCCUGCGCCGGAGGUGGCGACGCGAUGCUGCGGGUCUCGUACCGCGGGAAGAUCCUGGCGUGGGGCGGCGUUCCGCGGUUCUGCGUCGACGGCAGGUGCCUGCAGGGGCCGAGCGCCAGCGUGGCGACCGUGGUGGCCACGGCGGAGGGGCUUGUGUUGCAGCAGGAGCUGCGGAACAAGAUAUGCGCCGAAACCUAUGCUAUCGGGAGGGCCGAGUUCGACGUGGAAGGGAGCGUUCCUGGACUGAGCCACCUCCGCUGCAAGACGUACCUGUUCCAAGGCGACCAGACGGAUGCGCUGCCUCCGUGCUCCUUUCACAAAGACCCCGAGGAGGGCACGUGGUGA